AGUGAACGCUGGCGGUAGGCCUAACACAUGCAAGUCGAACGGCAGCACAGUAAGAGCUUGCUCUUACGGGUGGCGAGUGGCGGACGGGUGAGGCAUACAUCGGAAUCUACUUUUUCGUGGGGGAUAACGUAGAGACACUUACGCUAAUACCGCAUACUACCUACGGGUGAAAGCAGGAGAUCUUCGCACCUUGCGCGAUUGUAUGAGCCGAUGUCGGAUUAGCUAGUUGGCGAGGUAAAGGCCCACCAAGGCGACGAUCCGUAGCUGGUCUGAGAGGAUGAUCAGCCACACUGGAACUGAGACACGGUCCAGACUCCUACGGGAGGCAGCAGUGGGGAAUAUUGGGCAAUGGGCGAAAGCCUGAUGCAGCAAUACCGCGUGAGUGAAGAAGGUCUUCGGGUUGUAAAACCCUGUUAUUGGGGAAGAAAAGAAGCAGAAGAAUAUGCGGAUAUUCUGACGGUACCUAAAGAAAAAGCAACGGCUAACUUCGUG
rnacentral:rRNA from 1 species